rnacentral:tRNA from 1 species
GGAGGAUUAGCUCAGCUGGGAGAGCAUCUGCCUUACAAGCAGAGGGUCGGCGGUUCGAUCCCUGUCAUCCUCCACCA